rnacentral:rRNA from 1 species
UCCUACGGGGGGCAGCAGUGAGGAAUAUUGGUCAAUGGGCGGGAGCCUGAACCAGCCAAGUCGCGUGAGGGACGACGGUCCUAUGGAUUGUAAACCUCUUUUGUCGGGGAGCAAAGCGGACCACGUGUGGUUCAUUGAGAGUACCCGAAGAAAAAGCAUCGGCUAACUCCGUGCCAGCAGCCGCGGUAAUACGGAGGAUGCGAGCGUUAUCCGGAUUUAUUGGGUUUAAAGGGUGCGCAGGCGGAGGUGCAAGUCAGCGGUCAAAUUGCGGGGCUCAACCCCGUACUGCCGUUGAAACUGCAUCC